GUAGCUUGUUCUCUAGAACUCCCUGCAGGAGGUGGCCACAAACCCAGUGUUGGGAGUGACGAUGCCCCGUUGCACCGCUGCACACAAAACUGCAUUGAUUUCAGAACUGUCUGGAGCAAUAUACACCUUCCCAGUGCAGGAGCUAGAGUGGAUGAGUCUGGGGCCAGAAGAGGAAGAUUUUCUGCAGUGACUCAAGGCAGAGCUGGCAUAUUAAGUACUGCUUAAUAUUGUUGUUCAUUUGUUUGCAAGGGCACAUGGAGGUUCUGAGGUCCUGCUGCCAUUAGGAGAGAAUGGAACAGAAACAGCAUCAAGAGUCCUUCAGAAGGAGUGGGAAGAACAAAUGUUGGUAGGAAAUUGUCAUGAGAACCCAGGAGCCUUUGGAAUAUUCUGGUUGGAAGGAGUACCAGUCUUCAGUCCAGCUCAUGUUGGUGAACUGACUUACACAAAGAGUGAUACAGAGAGAUUGCACUUCAGUUGCCACCAACUUAAAGUUUCUUCACAGAAUUUGUCAUCCAAGUUUGAAGAUACCAUGAGAGAACUCAGGAUGGCUAUCGUGCAUGUGAACUCCGCCCGAAUAGACCUAUCCCUUGCGAGCAGCCUGACUUCCUGGUUGAACUCCGCCAUGGAUCAUUUGAAAGAGUGGGCGGGCAUGGGAGCGUUAGCAGGCCUCUUGCUUAUGGUCUCCCUGGUCUGCCUGUGGUGUAUAUGCAGGAUUAGGACUACGCAAAAGUGCGAUGCAGCUAUGAUUACUCAAGCCUUUACUGCCAUAGAGGCAGGGCAGUCCCCCCAGGCCUGGUAGGCCACUAUUAAGAACUAAAAUGUUCUCUUAAGUGGGGUGCGAGGCUAAGCACUGCACGAGGGUUUGCUUGUAUGCGGCUAGGCUGCCCUCGGAAGACAAGCCUGAUUGCAUGAAGGUUGUACCCAAGAUCCUUCCCCUGGGAAAAUAGGUACGGGAUGGGUUUGGGUCACCGCAGGCGUAGAGUUUGUGGGUGUCACCAAUACAUUAUCCCAUGUUUGCAAACCGGGGAUCGGGCCUCUAUCUUCACCCGCUCUGUUUUUUAAUAAAGAAGGGGGAACUGUGGAGAGCUGCGAUGGGCCGUGCCUUAAAGAUGGCGCCGGUUUCCGCCUUCCACCAUCCCGAGGGUGAGCGCUCUCUGGAAUAAACAACUCCUUAUUUGGCUUGGUCUAAGAUUCAAACUUGCAUCAGCAAAUGCGAGCCUAUCCGCCUUAGCCACGUGGCUUUCUGGGGCUGGCUGGCAAGAGUGCUUUUAAGCUGUGGGGGGGCUUUCCCCGGGGUCAGAAGAUUGUUCAAUGUUCCUGAGUAAACUGCUUAAGGAAGAGUCUCAGCGUUGCGUCUUCCUUGCUGGUCGAGGCGGUCAAGACACAUUGUCUUAUGAGGUGGUCAAGACACAUUGUCUUAUGAUUCUCCGGUGCAACAUGUGAUCCAAAGGCCAUACAGUUAUGGUG
rnacentral:lncRNA from 1 species